rnacentral:rRNA from 1 species
GACGAACGCUGGCGGCGUGCUUAACACAUGCAAGUCGAGCGGUAAGGCCCUUUCGGGGUACGACGAGCGGCGAACGGGUGAGUAACACGUGGGUGACCUGCCCUUACGCUCUGGGAUAAGCCUGGGAAACGUGGGUCUAAUACCGGAUAUGACUCCAUGACGCAUGUUGUGGGGUGGAAAGCCUUGUGCGGCUAGGGAUGGGCCUGCGGCCUAUCAGCUUGUUGGUGGGGUGAUGGCCUACCAAGGCGACGACGGGUAGCCGGCCUGA